GACGAACGCUGGCGGCGUGCUUAACACAUGCAAGUCGAACGGAAAGGCCCUGCUUUUGUGGGGUGCUCGAGUGGCGAACGGGUGAGUAACACGUGAGUAACCUGCCCUUGACUUUGGGAUAACUUCAGGAAACUGGGGCUAAUACCGGAUAGGAGCUCCUGCUGCAUGGUGGGGGUUGGAAAGUUUCGGCGGUUGGGGAUGGACUCGCGGCUUAUCAGCUUGUUGGUGGGGUAGUGGCUUACCAAGGCUUUGACGGGUAGCCGGCCUGAGAGGGUGACCGGCGACAUUGGGACUGAGAUACGGACCAGACUCCUACGGGAGGCAGCAGUGGGGAAUAUGGCACAAUGGGCGGAAGCCUGAUGCAGCAACGCCGCGUGCGGGAUGACGGCCUUCGGGUUGUAAACCGCUUUCGCCUGUGACGAAGCGUGAGUGACGGUAAUGGGUAAAGAAGCACCGGCUAACUACGUG
rnacentral:rRNA from 1 species